UACGUAGGGUGCAAGCGUUGUCCGGAAUUAUUGGGCGUAAAGAGCUCGUAGGCGGUUUGUCGCGUCUGCUGUGAAAACCCGAGGCUCAACCUCGGGCCUGCAGUGGGUACGGGCAGACUAGAGUGCGGUAGGGGAGAUUGGAAUUCCUGGUGUAGCGGUGAAAUGCGCAGAUAUCAGGAAGAACACCCGUGGCUAAGGCGGUUCUCUGGGCCGAUACUGACGCUGAGGAGCGAAAGCGUGGGGAGCGAACAGG
rnacentral:rRNA from 1 species